rnacentral:sRNA from 1 species
GAGGAGGAGCGAGAGAAACUCUAUAAUGUCAUCAGCCUCGAGUUUAGCCACACCAGGCUGGAGAAUAUGGUGCAGAGGCCCUCCACGGUGGAUUUCAUUGACUGGGUAGACAACAUGUGGCCAAGGCACUUGAAGGAAAGCCAGACUGAAUCAACCAAUGCCAUCUUGGAGAUGCAGUACCCUAAAGUGCAGAAGUACUGUCUAAUGAGUGUUCGAGGCUGCUAUACUGACUUCCAUGUGGACUUUGGUGGUACCUCUGUUUGGUAUCACAUCCAUCAAGGGGGAAAGCCCACAACCUGGAGCUGUACGAGAAUUGGCUGCUGUCAGGGAAACAGGGAGACAUCUUUCUGGGUGACCGGGUGUCAGAUUGUCAGCGCAUUGAGCUCAAGCAGGGCUAUACCUUCGUCAUUCCCUCAGGCUGGAUUCAUGCUGUGUAUACUCCUACAGACACAUUAGUGUUUGGGGGCAAUUUUUUGCAUAGCUUCAACAUCCCUAUGCAGUUAAAAAUAUACAACAUUGAAGAUCGGACACGGGUUCCAAAUAAGUUUCGCUAUCCAUUCUACUAUGAGAUGUGUUGGUAUGUGUUGGAGCGCUAUGUGUACUGCAUAACCAACCGUUCCCACCUAACCAAGGAAUUUCAGAAAGAGUCCCUCAGCAUGGAUUUGGAGUUAAAUGGGUUGGAGUCUGGGAAUGGGGACGAGGAAGCAGUGGAUCGAGAACCCCGACGCUUGAGCAGCAGGCGUUCUGUCCUCACUAGCCCUGUAGCGAAUGGAGUCAACCUGGAUUAUGAUGGACUGGGCAAAACCUGCCGAAGUCUUCCAAGUCUGAAGAAAACUUUGUCUGGGGACUCAUCUUCUGACUCUAGCCGGGGCUCCCACAAUGGACAAGUGUGGGAUCCCCAGUGUGCUCCCCGAAAGGACAGGCAAGUGCAUCUGACCCAUUUUGAGCUUGAAGGCCUUCGCUGCCUUGUAGAUAAGUUGGAGUCUCUGCCACUGCACAAGAAAUGUGUCCCCACAGGGAUAGAAGAUGAAGAUGCUCUCAUUGCUGAUGUAAAGAUUUUGCUGGAGGAGCUUGCCAACAGUGAUCCCAAGUUAGCCCUCACUGGAGUUCCUAUAGUACAGUGGCCAAAAAGGGAUAAGCUUAAAUUCCCCACUCGGCCAAAGGUGCGGGUUCCUACCAUCCCCAUUACGAAGCCUCACACUAUGAAACCAGCUCCACGGUUAACACCUGUGAGGCCAGCUGCUGCCUCCCCGAUUGUGUCAGGAGCCAGACGGAGACGAGUGCGAUGUCGAAAAUGCAAAGCCUGUGUGCAAGGAGAGUGUGGUGUUUGCCACUACUGCAGAGACAUGAAGAAGUUUGGGGGGCCUGGACGCAUGAAGCAGUCCUGUGUCCUCCGACAGUGCUUGGCACCCAGACUGCCUCAUUCAGUCACAUGUUCCCUCUGUGGAGAGGUGGAUCAGAAUGAAGAGACACAAGACUUUGAGAAGAAACUCAUGGAAUGCUGUAUCUGCAAUGAGAUUGUUCAUCCUGGCUGCCUCCAGAUGGAUGGAGAGGGGUUGCUUAAUGAAGAAUUGCCAAAUUGCUGGGAAUGUCCAAAGUGCUACCAGGAGGACAGCUCGGAGAAAGCCCAGAAGCGGAAAAUGGAAGAGAGUGACGAAGAAGCUGUGCAAGCCAAAGUCCUGCGGCCCCUGCGGAGCUGCGAUGAGCCUCUCACGCCCCCGCCUCAUUCACCCACUUCCAUGCUGCAGCUCAUCCAUGACCCGGUUUCCCCCCGGGGUAUGGUGACUCGGUCAUCCCCUGGGGCUGGCCCCAGCGACCACCACAGUGCCAGCCGCGAUGAGCGCUUCAAACGGCGGCAGUUGCUGCGGCUGCAGGCCACAGAGCGCACCAUGGUACGGGAAAAGGAGAACAAUCCCAGCGGCAAAAAGGAGCUGUCUGAAGUUGAGAAAGCCAAGAUCCGGGGAUCGUACCUCACUGUCACGCUACAGAGGCCCACCAAAGAGCUCCACGGGACAUCCAUUGUGCCCAAGCUGCAGGCCAUCACGGCCUCCUCUGCCAACCUUCGCCAUUCCCCCCGUGUGCUAGUGCAGCACUGCCCAGCCCGAACCCCCCAGCGUGGGGAUGAGGAGGGGCUGGGGGGAGAGGAGGAGGAAGAGGAGGAGGAGGAGGAGGAAGAUGACAGUGCAGAGGAGGGGGGUGCAGCCAGGCUGAAUGGCCGGGGCAGUUGGGCUCAGGAUGGAGACGAAAGCUGGAUGCAGCGGGAGGUCUGGAUGUCUGUCUUCCGCUACCUCAGCCGCAGAGAACUUUGUGAAUGUAUGCGAGUGUGCAAGACGUGGUAUAAAUGGUGCUGCGACAAGAGACUUUGGACAAAAAUUGACUUGAGUAGGUGUAAGGCCAUUGUGCCCCAGGCCCUCAGUGGCAUCAUCAAGAGGCAGCCAGUCAGCCUUGACCUCAGUUGGACCAACAUCUCUAAAAAGCAACUGACAUGGCUUGUCAAUAGGCUGCCAGGACUGAAAGACCUCCUCCUAGCAGGCUGCUCCUGGUCUGCAGUCUCUGCCCUCAGCACCUCCAGCUGCCCCCUUCUCAGGACCCUUGAUCUUCGGUGGGCAGUAGGAAUCAAGGACCCUCAAAUUCGGGACUUGCUUACUCCACCGGCUGAUAAACCAGGUCAGGACAAUCGCAGCAAGCUCCGGAACAUGACCGACUUCCGGCUGGCAGGCCUUGACAUCACAGAUGCCACGCUUCGCCUCAUCAUUCGCCACAUGCCCCUCCUGUCUCGACUCGACCUCAGUCACUGCAGCCACCUUACAGAUCAGUCCUCCAAUCUACUCACUGCUGUCGGGUCUUCCACUCGCUACUCUCUCACAGAGCUCAAUAUGGCAGGUUGCAAUAAAUUGACAGACCAGACCCUGAUCUACCUACGGCGCAUUGCCAACGUCACCUUGAUCGACCUUCGAGGAUGCAAGCAGAUCACUCGAAAAGCCUGCGAGCACUUCAUCUCAGACUUGUCCAUCAACAGCCUCUACUGCCUGUCUGACGAGAAGCUGAUACAGAAGAUCAGCUAAGACACACCCAGCCCAGACUCAACAGGAAACCGAUCUUCCCCUGACUCCCCACCGAGGAGAGCCUCUCCUCGACCCUGCACGGGCUCUGAGGCCAGCGUCACACUCCCUCUCUGCUCUCCUGUCCCUUGAGCUCUUCCUCUACAGGUGGGGCAGAGAGGGUGGUGGACACCAGGCUUACCUGCCUGCUCCUCUCCCUCCUAAGGAAAAGGGAGUAGCAGAUUGAUCUGAGGGGAAAGCACAGGCUGUGCUGUCAAGGCGCCUGCUCGCUUACUCGCCUGCCAGGAGGCCGGGCUCUCAGUUUGGGGUGUUUGUGCAACCUUCAUCUGCACUGGGCCCUGUGCCCCUCCUCCCCAUCCAUGGUCCCCAGCAGUGCCUGGUUCUGAGCAAACUCCCAGGGAAGAAAACGGCCCUGUCUCCAUGGCCAGGUUCUUGUGGUGUCUAGUGCGCGUCUCUCCUCCAUCACACUCUCCCGGCUUGCGCAGGAGGGGCCGGCAGCCCCAGGAGUCCCAGACCCGUGCCGAUCACACUGGUGCUGUUGAGAUGUCCCAAACCUCACGUCCUUAACUGUGCUCUCCCUCCUUUCCUCUCCCUUGAGCUUGGUUCUGCCCAGCACUCGUGCUCGUUCAUAUAAUUAGGUUUCCCACCCCAGCCUACCCGACUUACUUGCUAGUCUCUAUGAGGUCCUUAUUGCACUUAUUGGGGUUGAAGCUCUUCAGAGGAGCUGGAACUGUCUACCCCAGGGACACACCCAUUUCGUUGCUACCCAAGUGGAUUCUGAGACAGGCACCAUCUCCUUGUUCCCCCCUCUCUCUUUUGCCUCCCACUGACUGCCCUUUUCCAUGUGUCUUCAUUCUGCCUGAAGAAGGCUUUCCCAGGAUGCACGUCCUCAGAGGGAGCAGCCUAUCUCCCCCAAGCUGGAGGCGGCAGAGGACUGGGCCAAGCCCCAACCUGCCUGUGUCUAGCCCCAGUGGCUCACUGACCUUUCAGGACAGUCAGGGGGUCCUGCUUAGAAGCCAGUCACCUGCCCUCUGCCUGCAGCCAUGGAAGGGGGUGUGCAUGUGCCUCUGUGUGUGUGGCUGAGUGUAUUCCGCGCGUGUGUGUGGAGGGAGGGAGCGAGGGGAGCAUGGUGUCUCCCGCUCCACCGCCCUUUGUCGAGCCCCAUCAGCUGCCCCCUUUUACUUUGCAUUGAACGGCCUGUCCAAAGAUCCUCUCUCUAGGGCAGCAGAGAGCUUUUUGCACUUUAAAAAAAAAGAAAGAAAGGUCGGAAUUUCUUUUAGGUCAAUAUUUUUAAGUGUGUGAGGAGAUGCUCGGUAGCAGCAGCCUAUGGCAAGAGCUUAUGAUUGAUGCAAAUUUGCACUCUGCUCCCCCUCUGUAAGGAUACUGAUAGCACAACCUCUUCUUCCCCCCACCCCUGCCCUGCCUUCUGGUCCUCCAUCCCUGUCCCUUUCUGGCCCUCUCCCUGUAGCCCAGUCUCAGGCUUUCCUCUUCCUGAAGCCCUACAGAGGUAGGGAAUGGAGCCCAGGCACCAGGGGUCUGAAGUGUGAGCCACUGAGAAGAGAGACGCCAACUGCACCCUUGCCACUUCCAAAGCAAUAGAGGCAGAGUGGUCCCCUCUUUGCCACCUAGGCCAGUUUUGACCCUGGCAUUAACUGGCCUUAGAAGAAACUGGGUCCUGGUAGGGGGUGGCAUUUUGUCUGUUUCUUCCAAUCUGCUGAAUCUUUUGACUGCACCUUACAAACAGCAGUCUGUUCCCAUGACCCUCUGCCCACUUCCAUUGGUCUCCAGGCCCCAAUAAUCUGGGGUUGAAACUUUGAGGAAAUGCCAGUGACUUAUUCCAGAGUGCCUCAGUUAGGGGAACUUCUCUGUAAAGAACCCUGGGUAUUGAGCAAAAACCUUAUUAUUGUUAAUGACCUAUAAUUGGAAGCUUCCUGCCUUUUUCUUUGGUUGCUCCUGUGGAAAAUACUGAAAAGAUUACUUUGUUUUAUUUUGUUGUCUUUUUAUAAAAGGGGAGGUGGAGAGACCCCUUCAGAGCAGGGAUUGUGCCGGGAGAGUGCCUCUGACUUUGGGACAUUUCAUCCACAGAAAUUUCCAAGCCAAUGGUUUCUUUUGGGUUUUGGUUUUUAUGUUUGUUUUUUGGGGUUUGGAAAAACAUGCAUUUUUACCGUGCACGUAAAUUGGUCAGCAGAAAAGGGAGCCCAGAAGAGGCAGCAGAUGGACCAUGCCUUUGCUGGGUUUUCCUUUUCUUUGGGACUGUGAGGGGAAAUGGUUUUUAGAGGUGAGGGUUGGUCCAUGUGGAGGAAAGAAGUGUCUCUGUUGGGGGACAGAGGAACCUGGGGAGUCCAUCGCAUGUCCUACAAUCUGCUCUUAGACACGGCCUUGCCAGGAGAGCCUGCCCUCAGACUGCAGGACCAGAACCCCUGCCUCCAUCUUUCCAAGCACCGGGGCGAAAAACCACAAAGGAAAGGAAGAAAAUUUAUAUAUAUAUAAUAUAAAAUCACUUGGUGAUUAAAAAAAUAACUGCUCCAUAAAUAAAACUCCUAAAGUCA